rnacentral:lncRNA from 1 species
GACAUAAAACAUUGUCAUUUUUAGACUUAUGAGAGCAUAAACCUAUUAAAGUCCGAGUCGCUCGUCCUUGUAACCCUCUUCCAAAAUCCGAAAUCAACCAUACAUGCCAUAGAGUAACACUUUCCCAGCUACUUAUUUUCGUGUAAUUGAUCAAUUUUUAAACAAGCAUUCAAAGCAUAUUAUAACAGAACUUCCCGUCACACAGCAACCAUCAUAAUGUAAUCUCGUUAUCUCGUAAUAUGUGAUCAUUGAAAUAGACCUUAACUCAAAAACGAAAAUAGACCGCAUUAAGCACCAAAUCUCCC